rnacentral:piRNA from 1 species
UCACAGAUUCAGAUGAUGUCAGGU